rnacentral:rRNA from 1 species
GGUUAAGCGACUAAGCGUACACGGUGGAUGCCCUGGCAGUCAGAGGCGAUGAAGGACGUGCUAAUCUGCGAUAAGCGUCGGUAAGGUGAUAUGAACCGUUAUAACCGGCGAUUUCCGAAUGGGGAAACCCAGUGUGAUUCGUCACACUAUCAUUAACUGAAUCCAUAGGUUAAUGAGGCGAACCGGGGGAACUGAAACAUCUAAGUACCCCGAGGAAAAGAAAUCAACCGAGAUUCCCCCAGUAGCGGCGAGCGAACGGGGAGCAGCCCAGAGCCUGAAUCAGUGUGUGUGUUAGUGGAAGCGUCUGGAAAGGCGCGCGAUACAGGGUGACAGCCCCGUACACAAAAAUGCACAUGCUGUGAGCUCGAUGAGUAGGGCGGGACACGUGGUAUCCUGUCUGAAUAUGGGGGGACCAUCCUCCAAGGCUAAAUACUCCUGACUGACCGAUAGUGAACCAGUACCGUGAGGGAAAGGCGAAAAGAACCCCGGCGAGGGGAGUGAAAAAGAACCUGAAACCGUGUACGUACAAGCAGUGGGAGCACGCUUAGGCGUGUGACUGCGUACCUUUUGUAUAAUGGGUCAGCGACUUAUAUUCUGUAGCAAGGUUAACCGAAUAGGGGAGCCGAAGGGAAACCGAGUCUUAACUGGGCGUUAAGUUGCAGGGUAUAGACCCGAAACCCGGUGAUCUAGCCAUGGGCAGGUUGAAGGUUGGGUAACACUAACUGGAGGACCGAACCGACUAAUGUUGAAAAAUUAGCGGAUGACUUGUGGCUGGGGGUGAAAGGCCAAUCAAACCGGGAGAUAGCUGGUUCUCCCCGAAAGCUAUUUAGGUAGCGCCUCGUGAAUUCAUCUCCGGGGGUAGAGCACUGUUUCGGCAAGGGGGUCAUCCCGACUUACCAACCCGAUGCAAACUGCGAAUACCGGAGAAUGUUAUCACGGGAGACACACGGCGGGUGCUAACGUCCGUCGUGAAGAGGGAAACAACCCAGACCGCCAGCUAAGGUCCCAAAGUCAUGGUUAAGUGGGAAACGAUGUGGGAAGGCCCAGACAGCCAGGAUGUUGGCUUAGAAGCAGCCAUCAUUUAAAGAAAGCGUAAUAGCUCACUGGUCGAGUCGGCCUGCGCGGAAGAUGUAACGGGGCUAAACCAUGCACCGAAGCUGCGGCAGCGACGCUUAUGCGUUGUUGGGUAGGGGAGCGUUCUGUAAGCCUGUGAAGGUGUACUGUGAGGUAUGCUGGAGGUAUCAGAAGUGCGAAUGCUGACAUAAGUAACGAUAAAGCGGGUGAAAAGCCCGCUCGCCGGAAGACCAAGGGUUCCUGUCCAACGUUAAUCGGGGCAGGGUGAGUCGACCCCUAAGGCGAGGCCGAAAGGCGUAGUCGAUGGGAAACAGGUUAAUAUUCCUGUACUUGGUGUUACUGCGAAGGGGGGACGGAGAAGGCUAUGUUGGCCGGGCGACGGUUGUCCCGGUUUAAGCGUGUAGGCUGGUUUUCCAGGCAAAUCCGGAAAAUCAAGGCUGAGGCGUGAUGACGAGGCACUACGGUGCUGAAGCAACAAAUGCCCUGCUUCCAGGAAAAGCCUCUAAGCAUCAGGUAACAUCAAAUCGUACCCCAAACCGACACAGGUGGUCAGGUAGAGAAUACCAAGGCGCUUGAGAGAACUCGGGUGAAGGAACUAGGCAAAAUGGUGCCGUAACUUCGGGAGAAGGCACGCUGAUAUGUAGGUGAAGCGACUUGCUCGUGGAGCUGAAAUCAGUCGAAGAUACCAGCUGGCUGCAACUGUUUAUUAAAAACACAGCACUGUGCAAACACGAAAGUGGACGUAUACGGUGUGACGCCUGCCCGGUGCCGGAAGGUUAAUUGAUGGGGUCAGCGCAAGCGAAGCUCUUGAUCGAAGCCCCGGUAAACGGCGGCCGUAACUAUAACGGUCCUAAGGUAGCGAAAUUCCUUGUCGGGUAAGUUCCGACCUGCACGAAUGGCGUAAUGAUGGCCAGGCUGUCUCCACCCGAGACUCAGUGAAAUUGAACUCGCUGUGAAGAUGCAGUGUACCCGCGGCAAGACGGAAAGACCCCGUGAACCUUUACUAUAGCUUGACACUGAACAUUGAGCCUUGAUGUGUAGGAUAGGUGGGAGGCUUUGAAGUGUGGACGCCAGUCUGCAUGGAGCCGACCUUGAAAUACCACCCUUUAAUGUUUGAUGUUCUAACGUUGACCCGUAAUCCGGGUUGCGGACAGUGUCUGGUGGGUAGUUUGACUGGGGCGGUCUCCUCCUAAAGAGUAACGGAGGAGCACGAAGGUUGGCUAAUCCUGGUCGGACAUCAGGAGGUUAGUGCAAUGGCAUAAGCCAGCUUGACUGCGAGCGUGACGGCGCGAGCAGGUGCGAAAGCAGGUCAUAGUGAUCCGGUGGUUCUGAAUGGAAGGGCCAUCGCUCAACGGAUAAAAGGUACUCCGGGGAUAACAGGCUGAUACCGCCCAAGAGUUCAUAUCGACGGCGGUGUUUGGCACCUCGAUGUCGGCUCAUCACAUCCUGGGGCUGAAGUAGGUCCCAAGGGUAUGGCUGUUCGCCAUUUAAAGUGGUACGCGAGCUGGGUUUAGAACGUCGUGAGACAGUUCGGUCCCUAUCUGCCGUGGGCGCUGGAGAACUGAGGGGGGCUGCUCCUAGUACGAGAGGACCGGAGUGGACGCAUCACUGGUGUUCGGGUUGUCAUGCCAAUGGCACUGCCCGGUAGCUAAAUGCGGAAGAGAUAAGUGCUGAAAGCAUCUAAGCACGAAACUUGCCCCGAGAUGAGUUCUCCCUGACUCCUUGAGAGUCCUGAAGGAACGUUGAAGACGACGACGUUGAUAGGCCGGGUGUGUAAGCGCAGCGAUGCGUUGAGCUAACCGGUACUAAUGAACCGUGAGGCUUAACCUU